CAGGCGAAUCUCAAGUCAUCGAUCGACCUUCCUCAAGACCGCGAUUCUAACCUAACUUUGUUUGUUAUUGUUUGAAUUUUGAAUAUUUUUAAUUCAGUUCCAACAUAUAUUUUUUGUUUUUCUAAUUACAAUAAAAAUGUAUGAAGAAGUAAAAGCAUUUUUAGAGUUUAUUGAUAAUAUUGGAGAAGAAAAUCGCCCAGGAAGUAUACAAAAGCGAUAUAUUCAAGAUAAAAAUAUAAUCUAAAAUACAAGGGAGUAUUACAAUAUUGAAAUUCAUCAGCGAAUCAGCGCAUUAACUUAAACAACAAAGGUUUUAUGCUACUUAUAGGAAUAUAACCAGUUUUUAUAAGGAAGCCCACUUUCCAAAAAUGUACAGGUACUAAUAGAAGAGAAAUUAUGUAUAUUAUUGUAUUGUUCAACAACAAGGUUAUCAAGUCAUUCAAUAUUUGAUCUAAGAGCAUUAAUGAGUGAAAUGGAAAGAAGUGAAAUUCCAGGAUUAUUAAUAGGAAUAGAUGACAGUAGUGGGUAUGCAUGCAGACACUAUCUUUUUACCCCAGUAUUACAGCCAGGUAAUGAUCAAGAAAAUAAGAUAUUUUUACCAUAGUACUCAUGUGAGAACAAGAAAUGUAGAAAAGCAAUUUGGAACCUGGAAAAGAGAGUUUCCUUGUCUUCAACAAGGUCUACAAACCAAAUUAUAUACAUGUCUUGCAAUAAUAUGUGCUACAGCAGUACCUUAUAAUCUAGGUAAAUAAUGAUCUGGUGGUAAAUAGACAUGUUAAUGAUGUGGAACAAUCUCUAAAUUUUUGGCGACAUUUUUUUCAACAAUGUUUUGCAUGAGAAUACAUUAUUGAAUACCUACUCUUAUUGUGUUUGAUUUUUUUGUCGUAUUAUUUCUCAAAAUGUCAUCAUGAUCAUUGUUCGACAACCCUUUUUGUUUGAGUUUUGGUCUCUUGAGGAAUACAGCUCCAUUCCAGUCUAUUUCAGGAUUUGUUCUUACAAUUUUUUAUUUUUAAAAUAUCAAUGUCUUAUUCUAUUUGUUCCUUAUAUCUAAUCUAUAGUCUUUCUCUCGUUAUAUGUCCAGCUGACAUUUGUGUGUUUAUUUUGGAAAGUAUUUCAUAUGCUUCCAUCCUUCCUCUUAGAAUGUGGUCCUAUUUUGAUGAAUGUAUAUGGAUCGUGGUAUUGUUCAAAAUUAUAUUUCAUAUGCUUCCAUCCUUCCUCUUAGAACGUGGUCCUAUUUUGAUGAAUGUAUAUGGAUCGUGGUAUGCCCUGUAUAGUUCAAAAUUAUAUUUCAUAUGCUUCCAUCCUUCCUCUUAGAACGUGGUCCUAUUUUGAUGAAUGUAUAUGGAUCGUGGUAUGCCCUAUGCCCUGUAUAGUUCAAAAUUAUAUCUUCUCUGGUCUUCAUAUUUUAGAUGCUAUUUAGCCUGAUUCUAGUGCUUUAUCGUUAUUUCCAGUGCUUUAUCAAUUUAUCAUCAUUUAUUUUACCUACCUGUCUACUGCUACUCUACUAUUGUACGUUCACCAUAUAUUUUUGGAAUAUAAAUAUAUAGUAACCUUCUGUCUUUCUCUUGUUCAACUGGAAUUUGUUUAUUUAUUCUGAGAAUACAUUAUUGAAUCUGUAUUAUGUUAGAUAUAUUAUUUUAUUUCUUAAUAUGUAUUUUUUAUAUUUUAUUUUAAAAUAAAUGAGUAUGAGUUUCUCUCUUCUUAAAUAAGUAUUUAUUUGACAAACCUUUCCUUACCAAAUAUAAAAUUAAUUACACAUCUGGACCUCGGAGGUAAACUACACUAUGUCAUUUCGAGCAACUGUGUUUAGCAUGUGUUUGCAACAAAGUUUAGAGCACUUAGGAUGUUAAUAAAAAUCUGAUAUAUCCCAUAAUUAGUUGAAAGACAA
rnacentral:lncRNA from 1 species